UCUUGAGAAGUAAUUUUCUUGGUUAGUUUAAUUCCUUGAAGUCUCAUACUCUCUUUCAAUUCAAUGCCUAUAAUGCGCAAAUCGGGUAGAGCAAAUUGCAGUCCUGAGUGAUAGAUGGAUCACUUGGCAGACGCCGAAGAGCAAAUGGUAACGGAGAUAAUGAGGCAAAAACUCAAUGAAAUCACCGCAGCUACGGAGGCCCAACUUUCCGGUGUCAAAGACCACGUCAAUUUCACCCUUCAGCAAGCAUACUUCAAAUGCGCUUAUGAGUGCUUCGAUAGGAGAAAAACUCAAGAGGAGAUAGGGAACUGUGUGGAGUAUUGCAGCGUCCCUGUUCUCAAAGCCCAUUAUCUUGUGGAGGAUGAAACGGCUAAAUUUGCAGAAAACAUGAAAAGGUCAUUGACACUUUGUCAAGAAAAAUUUGUAGCUGCAAAACACCAGCAGGAUGGCAAUGCCAUCAAGGUCUUGGAGUCGUGUGUUGACCUGUCAACUCAACACUGCUUAAAGACAUUACCUUACAUUGUCAGACAAUUGAAGACUUCUCUUGGCAUCACAGGAUAGAGGAACAUCAGAUUACAAUACAAUAUAUAGGCUAAAGAAGGAGCAUAGGGAAGAGACAUAAUAAAUGAAAAAAUCUGCCCAAGACAACCACUCCUCCCUUCAAGGAGAUACUGCCAUAAUGAGGCUGAAGAGAGGCUGCUCAAGGAGAUAUUUCCAACACUCCCCCUCAAGCUGGAGCAUACAAAUCAAAUGUUCCUAGCUUGCUACAAAUGAAAUCAAUCCAAGGUCCAUGAAGAGAUUUAGUGAAGAUAUCGGAUAGUUGAUCAUUUGACCCAACAAAUGUGGUGACAAUGUCUCCGGAUGCAACAUUCUCUCGUAUAAAGUGGCAAUAAACCUCAAUAGGUUAUUAUGCUGAAAAUACUUGUGGGCUGCAAGAUUGUAUGGGCAAAGAAUGUAACACAAAAGUUCACUGGCGCUAUAUUAUUUCUAACAGUCUUCUAUGUGGAUCGAGUCGUUUUAUACAGCAGAACAAUCCCUAAGGGAUGGACUACACAUCUACUGAAAAUGGAGGGAGAAUAGAAGCCUCAGAAGGUGCAGAUGAUCCACAAAAUGUCUCCAUGACUGACCUCUUACCAACAACAGAAGAACAGCCCCCUCGUAGAAAAGAAGCAUGCUUUUAUGCUUCUUAAUGAUCUGAGAAAACAUUUGCAAAUGAUCCGUAUCAGUAUCUUGAUGUAGUACGUACAACUACCAACCCCUGCUAUACAAUUUGGUAUCGUCAAGACCAAAUUAUUAUUAGUGCUAUACUUGUUGGUAGCUGUUC